AGGGAACAGUGCCCGGAGGAGUUGCAGGGAUGUUAGUGGACAUCUGCCAUGUGCCCUGUGUGCCACUGGGAGGCAUGGGUGGAGAUCAGGUUCCAGGCACACCUCUGGGACAUACCACAGGGCCAAGCUUUUGCAGGUCAGGGGCAGAGAAGUGAGACUGAUUUCUGCCAGGACACCUGCGAACAGAUACCAGCUGCCUGGAGUCUGUCAGUUGCUGAGGAGGCAUAGGAAGAAACUAGUUCACCCAUGUCUCUCUUACACACAGGUUAAAAUCAACCUGUCAAAUCUCAUGAAAAACCUGGUGAAGUUUUGUUGGAAUUGUAUUAUACUGGAUGAUCAAUUUGGAGAGAUUUGACAGCUCCAGAAUAUGAAGAAUUUCUGGCUACAAAUAUGAUCCUGAAUUCCAGUGGAAUGGCUGAUACCAAGCAGCAUGAAGACCCCCCCAGAGGAGCACUAUCAGCAUGAAGACCCCUGCAGAGGAGCCUAAUCAGGAUGAGAAUGAGGUUUCUUCAUCUCCUUGUCUCAUGACUUCACCCUAUGCUCUUUGACCAGUCAAGGAUCCCCACACCUCGGCCCACUAUUCAUCCAAACCCCUUAAAAUCCCUACUUCCAAACUCCUUGGGGAGAUGGAGUUGAGGUUUCCUUCUGUCUCCUCAUUUGGUUGCUUUACCAUGAAACCUCUUUCUCAGCUGCAACUGGGUGACUUAGCGUAUUGCCUUGCUGUGCAUCGUGAAACAAACUUGGUCCUGUUACAUGGGUUCUCCUUGAGUAAAACCAAGGACAGAGGAGGCAGGGAAGCAUGGCUUAGUGAAGGAAAUUCAUCAGGGGCCCCAACUGAUUCAAAUCAGGGCUUAGACUAUCUGAAGAAAUAGAUUAACUGAGUAGUUUUUAAAGAGCCUUUCUGAAGUGGCUACGUUGUCUGGGGUAAAUACCCGGGGUUUGUUCUCUCAGUCCUCUCACUCCAGGAAAAUUUAGGACAAGGACACUCAUGAGGAGUUUAGGAGUGGAGGUUUAAUAGGCAGAAGAAAAGAGAAAGAAAAGCCUGGGCGUGGUGGCUCACGCCUGUAAUCCCAGCACUUUGGGAGGCCGAGGUGGGUGGAUCAUGAGGUCAGGAGAUCGAGACCAUCCUGGCUAACACAGUGAAAUCCCAUCUCUACUAAAAAUACAACAAAUUAGCUGGGCAUGGUGGCGGGCGCCUGUAGUCCCAGCUACUCGGGAGGCUGAGGCAGGAGAAUGGCAUGAACCUGGGAGAAGGAGCUUGCAGUGAGCAGGGAUAGCGCCACUGCACUCCAGCCUGGGUGAAAGAGGGAGACUCUAUCUCAAAAAAAAAAAAAAAAAAAAAAAAAAAAAAAAAAAGAAUAAAAGAGAGAGAGAAAAACAGCUCUCUCUAUAGAGGGAAGGGUCUUCCGAGCAGAAAAGUCUGGCUGGCAGGGAUGCACCAGAUUUUAUAGUCCAGCUUGAGGAGGCAGUGUCUGAUUUAUGUAGGGCUCACAGAAUGGUUCGAUCAGGUGUGACAUUUACAUGGGGGGGCAGGGCGGAUGUGAAGGCUGGUUACCCCACCCUUGUGCAAAUGAACGCUCCCCUAGGCCUGCUCCAUCUUGUCUGCUCCUUCUUGAACACGUGGCUGACAGAGAAGGGAAGAUGGAGACACCAUCUUGAAUAUGUCUAGUCUCUAGUUUCUGGGGGCUUUCACCCAUUCAAGCUCGCAGUUUGCUUGUCCAUGUCUGCAACUCGACUUUACAGGCUGUUCUUUGUUAGAAAAUGAUUUGAGGCUGCUUGAGUAAGUAAAAGCCUUACUGAGGACUCCCAUACCCUCACUAUCUGCCUAAGUGAUUUCCUCUGAACUCCUAUAUCACUCCCAAAAAUGUCUUUUCAAUCAGGCUUUGUAUGUGUACCAUCAAUCAAUAAUUGGAGGCUGACUGCCCUGGAAAAGCUGGGACUUGCACUGAAAAUUGGGGCCUGAUUCAUAUGCAGGAGAUGGGAUACAGAAGCUGAAGUUCAUGCGUAGGAGCCUAUAUAUCCUUCUCAGAAAGAAGGUGGGACAUCACAGAACUUUUUCACGAAAGUUGUUCUUUGCCUAUUCUAACUACUGAACAGAACCAUCAGUGAAGACUCCAUAGAACAUGAAUAUAAUGAUUAUGGCAUAGGAAAUUUUAAGUAGUUAUUUUCAUGUGCCGGACACCACAGGAAGAUCUCAAUGAUGCUUCUACUGACAGUCUAAUUUUGAAGGACACCAUGUCACUUCCUGCUGGAAUGAACUCAUGGCUGACCAUGAGCAUCUCUAGAUAGGCUCCUGCAAGGCCACAGAGUGUAUGUCCUCCCAGCUGGACGAAGCAAGCCUGCCCCUGACACCUGCAGGGCUCCAAGCAAGAACAUAAAUGGAGACCCUCAUACCACAGACCAGAAUUUAGAGAUUAUACAUCAAAAUCUCAAACUGCUAAAUAUACUACAUUCUAACCUCUUACUACUUCAGAAAUGUCUUCAUAACAACAAAUCAGGAAAAUAUUAACAAGGCUUUGGGUGUGUGGGUGCGUGUGUGUGUGUGUGUUGUUGUUGUUGUUGUUGUUUGCUUUUUUGAGACAGGGUUUCACUCUGUUGCUCAGGCUGGAGUGCAGUGAUGCAGUCAUGGCUCACUGCAGCCUUGACCUUCUGGGCUCAAGCAGUCCUCCUGCCUCAACCUCCCAAGUGGCUGGGAACACAGGUGUGUGUCACUAUGCCUUCCUGAUGUUUUUACAUUUUGUGGAGACAGGGUCUUCCUAUGUGGCUCAGGCUAUUCUGGAACUCCUAGGCUCAAGCAGUCUUCCCACCUUGGCCUUCCAAAGUGCUGGGGUUACAUGUGUGAGCCACUGUGCACAGGCUAUGGGUUUUAUACAACUAAAGGGUGGCAAUAUUUCAAAAAUGACUGAAUUAAAUUUGGAUUCUGAGUAUUCUGUUUAUGGAUUGUUUUUGUUUAUAGUAGAGUAUUUUGUUUAUAUAUAGGUAAGAAAAUUAAAACACAUGUGUGAUUCAUACAUUAUUAUAUAUUUAGUGUAUAAAAUUUAUUGUUCUUGUGUUCAUUUCAGCAAAAUCAUGAAUUGGCUAUUUUUAAUAUCAUCAUAUAAUUCAUAUUCUAGCGAUAACGUUGUUUAGAUGAUGAAGAUAUUAAAUGUAUAUAUUGCAGGUGGUAUGAAAAAACAUGUUAAAUAAAAUUGUAUUCAAAAUGCUCAAAAUUUGGAUGCAUUUUUAUCAUAAAUGUAGAUCAUAAUAAAUAAG
rnacentral:lncRNA from 1 species